GCAUUGAUGGUGUAGCGGUAACAUUGGGUCUUCCCAUUCAAUGGUGGCCCAGCCUCGGGUUCGACUCCCGGUCAAUGCA